GACGAACGCUGGCGGCGUGCUUAACACAUGCCAGUCGAACGGAAAGGCCCCUUUGGGGGUACUCGAGUGGCGAACGGGUGAGUAACACGUGAAUAACCUGCCCUUGACUUCGGGAUAACUUCAGGAAACUGGGGCUAAUACCGGAUAGGAAUCCUUGCUGCAUGGUGGGGGUUGGAAAGCUUCGGCGGUUUUGGAUGGACUCGCGGCUUAUCAGCUUGUUGGUGGGGUAGUGGCUUACCAAGGCUUUGACGGGUAGCCGGCCUGAGAGGGCGACCGGCCACAUUGGGACUGAGAUACGGCCCAGACUCCUACGGGAGGCAGCAGUGGGGAAUAUUGCACAAUGGGCGGAAGCCUGAUGCAGCAACGCCGCGUGCGGGAUGACGGCCUUCGGGUUGUAAACCGCUUUCAGCAGGGGCGAAGCUUGUGGUGACGGUACCUGCAGAAGAAGCACCGGCUAACUACGUG
rnacentral:rRNA from 1 species